CACCUUUGACAUGUACGGAAUCCUUUACGAGAUAGAGGAGUGCUCGAAAGAGAGCCGUAACACAGGUGCUGCAUGGCUGUCGUCAGCUCGUGUCGUGAGAUGUUGGGUUAAGUCCCGCAACGAGCGCAACCCUUGCCAUUAGUUGCUACGAAAGGGCACUCUAAUGGGACUGCCGGUGACAAACCGGAGGAAGGUGGGGAUGACGUCAAGUCCUCAUGGCCCUUAUAGGUGGGGCUACA
rnacentral:rRNA from 1 species